GAUUUGCUUGUAGAGCGCAAGCAGCAUAAUCAAAAGAAAGCUCAAUG
rnacentral:sRNA from 1 species